rnacentral:sRNA from 2 species
AAUUGUUGCUUUUAAUUAAUUAUUCUUUAUAAUUAUCAAGUGUAAAAAUCUGCAUUUGAAAAUACUUUUAAUAAUAUAUUACUAUGAAACUUAUAUAUAUAUAUUCAUUUUUCUCUUUUAUUUCAAAUAACUAUAUGUGUAUAUUGAGCUACUUAGACUGACUGUGUGACCAUGUAUGAGACUGAGACCAAAUUUUUCCUCAGUUCCAUUAUUAGAUAUCUUAAUUCUGAUCUCAUAUAGUAUUUAGUAAAUUAGUCACUUUACACUGUUUAUAUUAUAAAUCUAGUCUCAGAUCAUGUUUUACUAAUAAAUUAGUAAUUUCAAUUCCAUUUAAUUUUAUUUUACAAAAUGAGAUCAAAUGAGAUCAUGAUUUACUCUAUAUAGAUUGGCAGUGAUAGAUUGACAGCAGUAGAUAGAUUAGCAGCAGUGAUAAAUUAACAGUAAUAGAUUAGCAGUAAUAGAUUAGCAGUGAUAGAUUAGCAGUGAUAGAUUAACAAUAAUAAAUUAGCAGCAAUAGAUUAGUAGCAAUGAAUUAACAGUAGUAGAUAGAUUAACAGUGAUAGAUAGAUUAACAGUAAUAGAUAGAUUGAUAAUAGUAGAUAGAUUGACAGCAGUAAUAGAUUAGCAGUGAUAGAUUAGCAGUAGUAGAUAGAUUAACAGUAAUAGAUAGAUUAACAGCAGUGAGUAGAUUGACAGC